GUGGGGAAUAUUGGACAAUGGGCGAAAGCCUGAUCCAGCCAUGCCGCGUGUGUGAAGAAGGUCUUCGGAUUGUAAAGCACUUUAAGUUGGGAGGAAGGGUAGUAACCUAAUACGUUGCUACUUUGACGUUACCGACAGAAUAAGCACCGGCUAAUUUCGUGCCAGCAGCCGCGGUAAUACGAAGGGUGCAAGCGUUAAUCGGAAUUACUGGGCGUAAAUCGCGCGUAGGUGGUUCAGUAAGUUGGAAGUGAAAUCCCCGGGCUCAACCUGGGAACUGAGUUCAAAACUGAUGAGCUAGAGUACGGUAGAGGGUGGUGGAAUUUCCUGUGUAGCGGUGAAAUGCGUAGAUAUAGGAAGGAACACCAGUGGCGAAGGCGACCACCUGGACUGAUACUGACACUGAGGUGCGAAAGCGUGGGGAGCAAACAGGAUUAGAAACCCUAGUAGUCC
rnacentral:rRNA from 1 species